CAACCACAACAAACAGCAGCAGCAGCAUAUCUGUGUGGUGUCUUUCCAGGCAGAAAAUCUUCCUUGUGUUAGUAAGGAUGAGGCUGAACGCUGCCUGUGAACACAGGGUUGUUUAGCGAGUUCUCCAAACAUCAUCUCCAGAGUCAGAAUAGUAUCUUCAGGGAGCAUCAAGACACUGAAGAAAGAAGGUAUCAUCUUCUGGCAAAUGGGCUCUCAGUGUGAAAGCUGCCUCUGUCGGUAACCAGCUAUGUUUCACUAGACAUUCUGCUAAUCUCUCUGAGCUCCAGCUUUCCUUGAUUAGAAAAUUAAAAUGAAAGCACCUAAAUGCAAGAGUUGUUCUGAAGACAGAAUCCAUGUUGACUGAUGUAUGUGGUCAAGACUAGCAUCUCUGGAGGCUCCCUUUUUCCUUGUGCU
rnacentral:lncRNA from 1 species